rnacentral:lncRNA from 1 species
AACAAAUUAAAAUAUUUUCUCAACAUCAAAUUUAGCUUUAUAAUGUUAGAUGUUACAAUCAACAAAUUAAAUUAUUUAUCGUAUUGAAGUUGUGUUAUAAAAUAAGUAUAAAAUGUUAUAAAACGUGGUUGCUUGCUUGACACGUAGACUUUUCCGCAAUCAACCUAGUGAGCUCUUCAAGAGCUCAUCCGUUAUGAGUGCCCACUACUUGCAUGAUCUCACCCUGCUCGUCCAUAAUCCUUUGAGGGCUAUCUAAGACACAUAUAACCCUUAAGAGGGUACCAUGUCACCACACAUGACACCAAGUUACCUUAGCACGUUACAUCAAAGAACCAUAUAUUAUAUAUAAGUGUAAAUGAGCUAUUCAAAAAGACACAGUAGAACAAACACUCAAUAAUUAGAUAUUUUAUAGAAUACAUCAACAAAGAUAAUCAUUUGACAUUAUAAAAAAGAGAGAAAUGAGCAAAAGGCAUGCACCAUAUCUUUCAAAAUGUGUCUUUUAGCUAAUUAAGCAUUGCGUCGAAGAAGCACAUAAAGCUCUUAAUAGUGAAAUUUCUAAUGAAAAAAGCUAUCAACUAGGCUUCACCAUUAUAGCAAACACAAACUCAAAAUCCAUACCCUCUUGAAUAAGCACUCCCUCCACAAAAACUAGUAAAAUGAUUUUCUCAUCUCCCCCGCCUCUGUUUUCUUUUUCUUUUUCUUGCUAAAAAACUCCGUAACUGAUUCAAAGCUCAAAAUCCAAAACCCGUUCAACCCAUUUACCACAAACAACAAAUUCCAACCUGAAAUUGAAAUUCCUUACUAUUGAGACAAACAACCUGAAAUCCCUUACAAUAAAUAGAAAUGCCCAGCAAUUCGAAAAAACCAAGCUUAGCUUUCUAACCCUAAAUUGCCCUAAAACAAUCAGAUCAACCAAUCAACCAAUUUUUUUUCGAAAACUCAUUUUUUUCACUUCUCCCUUCUAAUGAAAUACAAGCAGAGAAGCAAAGAGAUGAAAUUCUCACAAUAGAGGUGAGAUUGAGGGGAAAAAUAACCGUACUCGUCUCAACUUUGGGGAAGCUUUUUACAAUGUCGAGAUCUCUGUCAAUGAUGGUCGUGGGAUGAGAAUAACUAAACGAGAACUAGGAGACAGGGUUGGGGUCUGGUGGCUUGAGGUGUUUGCUGAGGGAGAGUGGUAAAGGG